rnacentral:lncRNA from 1 species
UGGUGGACAGCUACAUCACACAAGGACCUCUACCCACUCCAACGUCUCUCUGACCCAAAAAGCAAAAAGGAAAUUAAAAAUAAGAAAAACGACAAGUCACAUAUAUUUCUUUUUUCCAACGGUAAGAUGGAUAUAAAAAAAAGGAAACAACUCACUCUCAAAGAAAGAAAAGGGAAAGGAUAAAAAAAGGAGAAAAAGGAAAAAGAUGUACAGCUUUCUUCCUCACCGCAACAAUUUCCCACAAGGCCUUUUCUCCUUCUUCACUCACCAACCACGAACACAGCCACCGCCUACCUCCAUUUAAAUUAUACUUACAGUCACCUUCGAUACUCCCUCCGAACCGUUAAAACCACCCGUCGGAGCAAAUAACCAAACAUAAUAACAGGCCCACCACCGGAUCUAAAAAUCGCCGCCGCGAAUCUCUCGAACACCACCACCCACAUCCUU